UAUACUUUUUUCUCUUAGGUUCUGUCUCAGCUGAUAUCUGGACCACGACUACAUGAAUUAUAUGAAUAUUGGACUAGUGAAACUUUAGCCGCUGUUUUUUACACUAAAUAGGAAGCAGAUCUCAGGACGAACAGAUUUAGUUUGCUGAAUGUCAUUGUUUGUGGCUAACUUAUUUGUGCAUUGAGGUGCAACUUCAGUUUCAUGGCAGUAGUGAUCCAAAGGAAGACGCAAUCUUCGACUAUCGGAGGAAG